ensembl:snoRNA snoRNA:Me28S-C2645a
ACAACCAUGAUGAAAUCGUUAGAUGGGGACAACUGAUUACUGUGACUGAUUCAUCUCGAUAGUAGAUCUGAUUUU